UGGGGAAUUUUGGACAAUGGGCGCAAGCCUGAUCCAGCCAUUCCGCGUGCAGGAUGAAGGCCCUCGGGUUGUAAACUGCUUUUGUACGGAACGAAACGGCCUGGGUUAAUACCUCGGGCUAAUGACGGUACCGUAAGAAUAAGCACCGGCUAACUACGUGCCAGCAGCCGCGGUAAUACGUAGGGUGCAAGCGUUAAUCGGAAUUACUGGGCGUAAAGCGUGCGCAGGCGGUGAUGUAAGACAGGUGUGAAAUCCCCGGGCUUAACCUGGGAACUGCAUUUGUGACUGCAUUGCUGGAGUGCGGCAGAGGGGGAUGGAAUUCCGCGUGUAGCAGUGAAAUGCGUAGAUAUGCGGAGGAACACCGAUGGCGAAGGCAAUCCCCUGGGCCUGCACUGACGCUCAUGCACGAAAGCGUGGGGAGCAAACA
rnacentral:rRNA from 1 species